rnacentral:rRNA from 1 species
GACGAACGCUGGCGGCGUGCCUAAUACAUGCAAGUCGAGUGCAGGAAACUGACGGAACUCUUCGGAGGGAAGGCAGUGGAAUGAGCGGCGGACGGGUGAGUAACACGUAAGGAACCUGCCUCAAGGAUUGGGAUAACUCCGAGAAAUCGGAGCUAAUACCGGAUAGUUCAUCGGACCGCAUGGUCCGUUGAGGAAAGGAGCUCCGGCGUCACCUUGAGAUGGCCUUGCGGUGCAUUAGCUAGUUGGUGGGGUAACGGCCCACCAAGGCGACGAUGCAUAGCCGACCUGAGAGGGUGAUCGGCCACACUGGGACUGAGACACGGCCCAGACUCCUACGGGAGGCAGCAGUAGGGAAUCUUCCACAAUGGACGAAAGUCUGAUGGAGCAACGCCGCGUGAGUGAUGAAGGUUUUCGGAUCGUAAAACUCUGUUGUAAGGGAACAACACGUACGAGAGGGAAUGCUCGUACCUUGACGGUACCUUACGAGAAAGCCACGGCUAACUACGUGCCAGCCGCCGCUGUAAGAC